AUGCCAAAGGAUCUUCAUGAAAAAACUGCUUCUCUUUUGCCUUCCCAAGGGCUCUCAUCUGUGCAGUCCACUCAAGACUUAUUCCUGUCACAUCACAUAGAAAACCACAUGGUCAGAUGCAGGAUGGUCACAAAGUUGGUUGCUUCUACCACAAGGAAGCAGCAGAUCCAUGGCCGUGCAGUGAUGGACACUUCAUACGGACAUAUGUGGGAUCCAUGGUGUUUUGACCCAUGUUCCUUCCACACUCUCUGAAGAGCAGUAUAUUAUCUGAUGCUUCAUUGUGGGACUUCUUGUAUUUGGAAGUUUCUAGGGAAGUCGGUGACAUGAAGUGAAGCAUGAGAGAGAGCAAGGAGGAAGGUAAGAAAGAUCACCACUGCUACUGUUGCUGCUUCACAGAAAUGUAAUCUUUUGUGAUCUCUUUGGAACAGGAGGUAAAUAAUAAAACACAAGGGAUGGAAAGAAUUAAAAUAAAUGUAGCGUGUGAGUGCAUGCUAAAAUAGAUGUCAGAUUAAAAAUGACUGAAAAAGAAAUUCUACUGUAGGAAGAGAAAAGUGGUUUUCCUUCAGCUUUUCAGAUUCCACCUUCAUUAGGUAGCAAGUAAAAGAGCUGUGUAGGAAAAAGAGGACUUUUGUUGUUUCCUUCUGAACUUUGAGAGAAGCAUAAUGCAAGCACAAGGGGAUGGUUUUGUGGAGCGCAGCCCAGGAACAAUUCUCAGAGUGAAUUCCAGGAACCACAAGAAUGUAUUUGUGUGAGACAAGCUUUGGGAGUUGGGACUUUAAGUUUGCAGUACAGUACAUCCAGGAAAUUGAAUCCUGAACUUCAGCUUUUGAUCAGUACUCCAAUGCUAAGGAAAAAAAAAUGCAAAGUGGUAGUCUCACACUGUCUAACACCUACUUGCAAUGGACCUGCAGGCCAAUCUAGACACCAAGGAUCCUACUCUAUUCCCUUCAGCCUUUUUGACACUGACUUUGUCAAUGGAGUUAUCCUCCUGUUCAGUGUAAGCAGAAGUAUUGCCAGGCCUUCUUACUGUCAUGGAAGGGCUAUUGUUGUAGGAGCUUAACAUUUUUUUUCCCUUCAUGGUGGCCAUGCCAUACUGACCUUCACAGAUAGGAGGCUCCACAACGAAGGACUCUAAGAACACAUUUUAUUCUGUAGAAGUUGUGCCAUGAGUCCUGUAAAGCUACUUCAUUCUCUCUGUAAAGCUCUCAUUCUCACUGACAACAGCUGACUGCAACUUGGGACCUGUGGGGAGAUGGUAAAGGGUAGAAAUGACAGAAGCCUAGCCUGUUUAAAAACUAAGUACUAAAACAUUGAACCUUCACCUGUCUCCUGCUCUGUAUUUGCACUCUCCAGGCUCCCUUUAAGUUUCUCUUUAGAAGUCCUACAGCAGUUUAGACUAUCUAAGCUUUUACUGCCAAUGGUCAGUGGGCAUUUUACAUACUAUAUCUUUGUAACGUAAGAAUGUUCUCAUUCUGAGCUGCCCUAUUAAAUAGGAAUUGACCAGAUGGACAUUCUUGUUUCUCUUCCUCCUGGACAGGUUGAAUCUAAUUAAAAAUCAUUCCCUCUUCCCCACCCCCACUACAUAUUUUCAAUAUCAUCCAGAUGUUAUCCCUGGUUAUUUCAAUAAAGCACCAUCAAAUUUGGAUAAAACAUGAUGAUUUUUAUCCUGGGAGGCAAAAAGCCAAA